CCUACGGGUGGCAGCAGUGGGGAAUAUUGCACAAUGGGCGAAACCCUGAUGCAGCGACGCCGCGUGAGCGAUGAAGUAUUUCGGUAUGGAAAGCUCUAUCAGCAGGGAAGAAAAUGACGGUACCUGACUAAGAAGCCACGGCUACCUACGUGCCAGCAGCCGCGGUAAUACGUAGGGGGCAAGCGUUAUCCGGAUUUACUGGGUGUAAAGGGGGCGUAGACGGUCCUGCAGGCCAGAUGUGAAAGCCCGGGGCUCAACCCCGGGACUGCAUUUGGAACUGUAAGGCUAGAGUGUCUGAGAGGCAGGUGGAAUGCCUAGUGUAGCGGUGAAAUGCGUAGAUAUUAGGAGGAACACCAGUGGCGAAGGCGGCCUGCUGGACGAUGACUGACGUUGAGGCUCGAAAGCGUGGGGAGCAAACAGGAUUAGAUACCCCAGUAGUC
rnacentral:rRNA from 1 species